rnacentral:rRNA from 1 species
CCAACACCUACUACUUAUAUUGAGAAACCUCCUUUCCCUGUUAGGAUAAGGGAUCAUGCUAAAACUUCAACUGUGGUUCGUAAGAGUAAUACUAAAACACCUACACCACCUGAGAAAAUUCAAGUAGAACCUAAUAUUGUUGUGGCUAAAGAUCUCUUGGCUGAUUAUAUAGAUGGGCAUGGUAUUUAUUUCUGUGAUGAAGCUGCUAGAAUUGCUAGACCUGGUGCUAAGAAACAUAGACAUGUAGUAGGCAUGCCUGUUAUUUCUGUUAAAAUAGGAGAUCAUUGUUAUCAUGGCUUAUGUGAUAUGGGUGCUUGUGCUAGUGCAAUACCUAUUUACUUAUAUCAAGAAAUUAUGCAUGACAUUGCACCUGCUGAGAUAGACGAUAUUGAUGUUACAAUUAAGCUUGCCAAUAGAGAUACUAUUUCACCAAUUGGGAUUGUUAGAGAUGUUGAAGUCUUGUGUGGGAAAGUUAAAUAUCCUGCUGAUUUUCUUGUUCUUGGUUCCCCACAAGAUGACUUUUGUCCCGUUAUAUUUGGUAGACCCUUCUUGAAUACUGUUAAUGCCGGAAUUGAC